UACGUAGGGAGCAAGCGUUGUCCGGAUUUACUGGGCGUAAAGCGCACGUAGGCGGUCCAGCAAGUCGGGUGUGAAAGCCCUCGGCUUAACCGAGGAAGUGCAUUCGAAACUACUGGACUUGAAUACUGAAGAGGAUCGCGGAAUUCCCGGUGUAGAGGUGAAAUUCGUAGAUAUCGGGAGGAACACCAGUGGCGAAGGCGGCGAUCUGGGCAGAUAUUGACGCUGAGGUGCGAAAGCGUGGGGAGCAAACAGG
rnacentral:rRNA from 1 species